GGCCGAUUAGCUCAGUUGGUUAGAGCGUCGUGCUAAUAACGCGAAUGUCGCGGGUACGAUCCCCGUACUGGCCA
rfam:Ciona savignyi cont_29102, whole genome shotgun sequence.